GGAAUUAAGGACUGCACGUUGUCCUUGUAACGGGGAUCCAGCAGGGUGGCCACCCAGUAAUCAGCACAAGUUAGAAUGUGGGCAACUCAGCAGUCGUUGCGCAGGCACUUUGGUGACUCUAGAUAACCUAGGACCAAUCGCACGUCCCCGUGACGGCAACGACUGAUUCGGAUGUCUGCCCUAUCAACUUUCAAUGGUACUUUCUGCGCCUACCAUGGUGACCACGGGGAAUCAGGGUUCGAUUAUG